rnacentral:rRNA from 1 species
GAUGAACGCUGGCGGCGUGCCUAAUACAUGCAAGUCGAGCGGUAAGGCCUCUUCGGAGGUACACGAGCGGCGGACGGCUGAGUAACGCGUAGGAACGUACCCCAAAGUGAGGGAUAAGCACCAGAAAUGGUGUCUAAUACCGCAUGUGGCCCACGGGCUAACGCUUCGGGGCUUUGGGAACGGCCUGCGUAAGAUUAGCUAGUUGGUGAGGUAAUGGCUCACCAAGGCGACGAUCUUUAGCUGGUCUGAGAGGAUGAUCAGCCAGACUGGGACUGAGACACGGCCCAGACUCCUACGGGAGGCAGCAGUAGGGAAUUUUCCACAAUGGGCGAAAGCCUGAUGGAGCAACGCCGCGUGCAGGAUGAAUGCCUUCGGGUUGUAAACUGCUUUUAUAUGCGACGAAUAUGACGGUAGCAUAUGAAUAAGGAUCGGCUAACUCCGUGCCAGCAGCCGCCGCCG